rnacentral:rRNA from 1 species
GACGAACGCUGGCGGCGUGCUUAACACAUGCAAGUCGAGCGAUGAAGCUUCUUCGGAAGUGGAUUAGCGGCGGACGGGUGGGUAACACGUGGGUAACCUGCCUCAUAGAGGGGAAUAGCCUUCCGAAAGGAAGAUUAAUACCGCAUAAGAUUGUAAUAUCGCAUGAUAUAGCAAUUAAAGGAGUAAUCCGCUAUGAGAUGGACCCGCGUCGCAUUAGCUAGUUGGUGAGGUAACGGCUCACCAAGGCGACGAUGCGUAGCCGACCUGAGAGGGUGAUCGGCCACAUUGGGACUGAGACACGGCCCAGACUCCUACGGGAGGCAGCAGUGGGGAAUAUUGCACAAUGGGGGAAACCCUGAUGCAGCAACGCCGCGUGAGUGAUGACGGUCUUCGGAUUGUAAAGCUCUGUCUUCAGGGACGAUAAUGACGGUACCUGAGGAGGAAGCCACGGCUAACUACGUGCCAGCCGCCGCGGUAAUAC